rnacentral:lncRNA from 1 species
UCAAGACUGAGCCUACUUAAAUGGUUUGGGUGUGGGUUUUGUCAUGCAAAGACAUGGCCCAAUAUGGUUUUUAGCCUACAACUUUUAAUAUUUUAUGCAAUGGGCUUGCAAAAUGAUGGGCCAAUAUGGACUGUUCGGUUCGUUUAGAACCGUCCGGUUUUACCGGUUCACCGGUUCGACCGCUGGUUCAGGCGGUUCGUAACCGGUCCAAUAGUUAAACGGUUUAAUAGAGUGGACCGGACCGGAAAUGUGACCGGUCG